AUAUCUCUCCGUACGGGAAGGAUGAGAAGCUUCGACUAAGGUUCGAUUCGAGCGAAAGCGAGAAAGCGUUGCCGCAGGCAACGACCCGAAGGGCGAAGCGCGCAGCGCU
rnacentral:sRNA from 1 species